rnacentral:tRNA from 1 species
GGGGAUUUAGCUCAGCGGCAUAAGCGCCUGCCUUGCAAGCAGGCAGUCGUGAGUUUAAUCCUUG